rnacentral:rRNA from 1 species
CCUACGGGGGGCUGCAGUGGGGAAUAUUGGACAAUGGGGGCAACCCUGAUCCAGCCAUGCCGCGUGUGUGAAGAAGGCCCUCGGGUUGUAAAGCACUUUCAGUGAGGAAGAACGCCUGGUGGUUAAUACCCAUCAGGAAAGACAUCACUCACAGAAGAAGCACCGGCUAACUCCGUGCCAGCAGCCGCGGUAAUACGGAGGGUGCGAGCGUUAAUCGGAAUUACUGGGCGUAAAGCGCGCGUAGGUGGCUUGAUAAGCCGGUUGUGAAAGCCCCGGGCUCAACCUGGGAACGGCAUCCGGAACUGUCAAGCUAGAGUGCAGGAGAGGAAGGUAGAAUUCCCGGUGUAGCGGUGAAAUGCGUAGAGAUCGGGAGGAAUACCAGUGGCGAAGGUGGCCUUCUGGACUGACACUGACACUGAGGUGCGAAAGCGUGGGUAGCAAACAGGAUUAGAUACCCUUGUAGUC